AAGCUGUUCCUGUACUCUCCAG
rnacentral:miRNA from 1 species